AUUGACCGCUGACGGCAGGCCUAACAAAUGCAAGUCGAACGAGUGGCGGACGGGUGAGUAAUGUCUGGGAAACUGCCUGAUGGAGGGGGAUAACUACUGGAAACGGUAGCUAAUACCGCAUACCAUCGGAUGUGCCCAGAUGGGAUGAGCUAGUAGGUGGGGGAAAGGCUCACCUAGGCGACGAUCCCUAGCUGGUAUGAGAGGAUGACCCGCCAGACUGGAACUGAGUGAAGGUCCAGACGCCUACGGGAGGCAGCAGGGGGGAAGAUUGCACAAUGGGCGCAAGCCUGAUGCAGCCAUGCCGCGUGUAUGAAGAAGGCCCUCGGGUUGUAAAGUACUUUCAGCGGGGAGGCGUUACCCUCAGAAGAAGCACCGGCUAACUCCGUGCCAGCAGCCGCGGUAAUAC
rnacentral:rRNA from 1 species